UUCACCAGCUCUCAUUGCCUGCAUGUUUGCAUUUGCUAGCUCUUGAUGCAAGAUCCUAAGUGGACAAGUGCACCUGAUGAGUCAUGCCUGGGAUCCUUGUUCAAACCCCAGCUACCAGAGGUCUGCAUGGGAAGGAACAGAAGCUUCUUGCUGACAUUGCCAAAAUCUUCUUCUAAGAAGUUGGAAAGGGGAAAAGGAAGACAAAGUGGAAUUGUUCUGGGACAAGAAAUCUCCAGAAGGGAUCCAGGAAUAAUCAGAAAGCAUUCAGUGAAACUAUGUGGCUCAUGA
rnacentral:lncRNA from 1 species